GAGGGUAUAGCUCAGUGGUGGAGUGCAGUGCUUAGCAUGCACGAGGUCCUGGGUUGAAUCCCAGGUACCUCCA
rnacentral:tRNA from 1 species